GACGGGCCCGCACAAGCAGCGGAGCGUGUGGUUUAAUUCGUUGCUACACGAAGAACCUUACCUGGGUUUGACAGUAAUGGUGGUAGGGAUCCGAAAGGUGACCGACCCUUCGGGGAGCCAUUUACAGGUGUUGCAUGGCUGUCGUCAGCUCGUGUCGUGAGAUGUUCGGUUAAGUCCGCUAACGAGCGCAACCCUCGCUGUGUGUUAUAUGUGUCACACAGGACUGCUGGUAUUAAGCCGGAGGAAGGUGGGACGACGUCAAGUCAGCAUGACCUUUAUAUCCAGGGCUACACACACGCUACAAUGGUCAGUACAAUGGGUUGCCAAGCCGCGAGGCGGAGCCAAUCCUAAAAAGCUGGCCUCAGUUCAGAUUGCAGUCUGAAACUCGACUGCAUGAAGUCGGAGUUGCUAGUAAACGCAGGUCAGCUAUACUGCGUUGAAUACGUUCCCGGGCCUU
rnacentral:rRNA from 1 species